UACGUAGGUGGCAAGCGUUGUCCGGAUUUAUUGGGUUUAAAGGGUGCGUAGGCGGCCUAAUAAGUCAGUGCUGAAAUAUCCCGGCUUAACCGGGAGGGUGGCAUUGAUACUGUUGGACUUGAGUAGAGUUGAGGUUGGCGGAAUUGACGGUGUAGCGGUGAAAUGCUUAGAUAUCGUCAAGAACACCGAUAGUGAAGACAGCUAACUAAGCUCAAACUGACGCUGAGGCACGAAAGUGUGGGGAUCAAACAGG
rnacentral:rRNA from 1 species